CUAGAAAAGUGGUAGGGUCGGGACAAUGGGAGGCAAGACUCACUAAUGUCAGCAGCAGAAGUCCGUGUACAGUGGCCAAAGGCCAGGUGACCCCCGCCCAAAAGAGAGACAAGACCUCAGGGGAUAGCAACAAAGACAGGAUGACAGCUUAGGGACUGGGCCAUCCUUCAUCAUCACCAUUAUAAAAUUUAAGGUUCCUUCUGAGCCAAAAAGUCACUCGGGAAUAGCAAGACGGAGGAGGGAAAAUCCCCUGCAAGUUGGAACACUCCAGCUCUUGGAACAUGCCAAGGAAAGCUAGAAACUUAGCAGAGACUGGUGCUCAGGAGACAGGAAUUUAGGCAAGAGUGAGAAAAAUUCUAGGCAUGGACCUGUGGGAUCAAGGAAAAGUCCCCCAUAUCACCUGUCCCCUGGAGCUGUCUUUGUUUUCCUGCUUUGUCCCUUGCAGUGACCAUCACAGGAAGGCUCGUGGACACCUGACCUGGACAUAGGCGGAGUGAGACUUUCACCACUGCGGUUCAUAUUAAAUUUGGUUUUUACUCAUUUUAUGCUUUGUUUGGAAGAUUGGGUGUCAAAACGCUUUUUGGGUAUUACGAAAUAAAGUUUAAAAGCUAUUUUGAAACGUGGGUCGUGAAAGUUUGUUGACUAUUUCUGGAUGUAAUCAAACAGCUCAGGUUAAAGUACAAGGAACUGGCUUCACCUCUCAGUGUCCAUGGAGUUCUUCCCUGACACCCUGAGUCUCUCUUCUAGCUUAGGUUCAGGAGUAUCCUCACUCAAGGCUUCAUCGGCGUAAAGAAGCUGUGUGUGUCUAUUCCUCGAGACCCAAAGGUACAUGGAUGCUUAACACAAUGCCAAAACCAGCAGGCUGAGCAAGUCAUAAGGCAUAGACCCUCAGGACACAAAAGGAACCCAGGGCUGGGGCAGAGGAUUUCUGUGGUUCUGAGACUCGGUGCAGAAUUGACAUCAUGGCUCUCCAGGGUCCGUGCCUCACUUUUACAAGCAGAAAAGAGGACAGUCGCCUGCUAGAAGCUGUGGCCUUGCAGGACACUUCUUGGCCAGUGCUUCCCUCCACCCCCUAUCUCAGCUUCUUGAGGACUCUGCCAGCAGGAGAGGACUGAGGACUGUGCCUCAGCAGGUCUGUUCUUGCUUAUGUGACUCAUGGCCAUGGCUUCUCUGUUGCCCAAGACUUGUAUGUACAGCCCCGAUCAGCUGGGUUUUAUCACUGCUUCCUGGAUUCCUCUUAUUUUUUCUUGUGCUGCUUGAAGGACCAGUGCUUCCGCCUAUCUGCUGCCAGGAUCACAUUAGGGCUUCCCGUGUCUGCGGCUCACGUCUUGGCUCGGGGACAUACCUGCGAUGAUACUGAACAAGUUGAGGCCAUCGCCUGGGGACUAACUCACUGCUAAAUGACGUCAAUAAACCCCUUUGAGGUUGCUGCAGACAGGCGUCCUUGGCUGUCAGCACCAGGGAAUGGCUCACCAUGGCAAGUUAGAGAACAGUGUUACUCUAGCCAAGGUCCCUGGGUCUGAUGACCUUCAUUUACAGGGACAAGCCCAGCCCCAACCAGCUUUCUAGAAGUACAGUUUGACUGUGAUUUUUUUUUUUUAAUCGAGGUUUGAUUAAAUCAAGGAAAAUUUAUAGAUCUUAA